GACGAACGCUGGUGGCGUGCUUAACACAUGCAAGUCGAACGGGAUUUAGUAAACAGAAGCCUCGGUGGAAGAUUACUAAUGAGAGUGGCGAACGGGUGAGUAACGCGUGAGCAACCUGCCUAUGACAGUGGGAUAGCCUCGGGAAACCGGGAUUAAUACCGCAUAAAAUCGUAGAAACACAUGUUUUAACGGUCAAAGAUUUAUCGGUCAUAGAUGGGCUCGCGUCUGAUUAGCUAGUUGGUGAGAUAACAGCCCACCAAGGCGACGAUCAGUAGCCGGUCUGAGAGGAUGAACGGCCACAUUGGAACUGAGACACGGUCCAAACUCCUACGGGAGGCCGCAGUGGGGAAUAUUGCACAAUGGGGGAAACCCUGAUGCAGCGACGCCGCGUGAACAAAGAAGGUAUUCGUAUCGUAAAGUUCUGUCCUAUGGGAAGAUAAUGACAGUACCAUAGAAGAAAGCUCCGGCUAAAUACGUG
rnacentral:rRNA from 1 species